UUUUAUGUCUAUGCAAAAUAUUUUUCAGCAACUUUUUUUGCAAAGUCAACUUCAAUUGAUGCACAAAGAAGUAGUAUAUGAAGUUAUAAAAACACACAAAUAUUUUGAAAUACAGACUGUAUUAUACAGUUAAUUGAGAAGCCAAAUAACACAGAAAUACUCCCAAAUUGUAACUCUUCACAAAAACUUGGAUAAUGGAGUUAGCAAUCAAACCAGAGCCCCGCACUCAACUGAAGACAGACCUUCGCGAGGAGAUCAUAACGAGAAGCAAUAUGGAUAUUAUCGGUGACGAUAUUGUGAAGGAACACUGUUAUGUCAGAUCUAAUGCUAAGAAAGUUUUCUACUAUCAUCUGAGCGAUCAUAAUUAUUUCAACCACCGCAGAGCCUUAAAGCAGAACGCACAACAGAAAGCCAAAACAGACUUACAGAAACUGAAACAAAAGCCUUCAAAAACACGCAAACGAAACAUUAAGAUUACAGAACUAAGAGCCGUUUACAACUGCAAGGCAUGCGGUUACCGUACUAUGAACCGAGAAAUAUUUCCAAACCACAAAUGCGAGAGAGAACCUAUAUUCAAGCCUUGCACGGACUGUGACAAGAAUUUGACACCAGAAGGAUACCAACGAUGCCACGAAUGCACUUAUUUUACUAAGAACAAGUCGAGUUUGAAAGUUCAUAUGCGUAUUCAUGCGAAAGGGACUCCUUAUAAAUGUACGGAGUGUGACUCCUCGUUCAAAGAUCUGAAGGACCUUAUAUUACAUUAUGAUGAAGUUAAAGAUUUGAAGUGUGAUUGUGGGUAUGCAACACAUGUUAAACAGCAAAUGGUAACACAUAAGAGAAUGCAUACCGGUGAGAAACCUUUUUGUUGCGGUGUAUGUAGCUUUUCUACGAGUGAGCGGUCUACGUUGCAUAGGCAUUUGAAGACUCAUGAUAGGAUUUAGUAUAUUAGAGGGACUUAAAAUAUUAGGUUAAGAAAGGUACGUUUUAAAUGCUUAAGCUGCCGACUGCUUGAAAUCGGCCGCAGCUACACUACUGGGACUCGAUUCUGCUAAUUUUACCUAAGCAACAUACGAUUGAUAUCCAACUGAAAUCCAAUUACGAUUGAAGCAUAUGUGGCAUUCCGCUAUUUUUUCUUUAAAAUAAACGUUUUUAUCCUUUUCUGUGAUUCAAUAAUGAAUCAUAUCGUCUGCAAAUGAUUUACGAUUGCAAUAUGAUUGUAGAGCAAACUACCGUAUAGACCAAAUGGCAGACCAAUCGCAAACCAAUGAAAUGUCAUUGGAAUACGAUUGGUCUUAUAUUAGUAGCAGAAUGCCCGCUAAGGUUCAAACUGCUAUUGCGAUUCAAUUUCUAUUCAAUUUUGACAUUAUUAACUUAGCAGAAUCAGGCCCCUGGUUUGUAUGUAUUCACAUGAAACCGUUUUGGUUCGAAGCGGCAGCAGCACGUGCAGUCGCCCUCAGAUAUCGACUGAUGUCAUGCAGUCGCUGCAAGUGCGGUCGACAGUUGCAGUCGGCAGCUAGCAUUCAAAAAGCACCCUAAAUAUAUAUUUGUUACAAAAUUAUUGAUUUGGUGUUGUUUGAAAAAUUUAUAGAUCUCGUUUUUAUUUUCAAAAUAUUUAUUUGGUUUUGUAAAUUGAUUUAGAUUUUAUCAUCUGUCUAAAGACAUUCGAAAAAAUUAUUUGGUUUUCGAUUGAUGAGAAUAAAAACUACUGAGUAUAAAGAAAAGGUUCCUUAGAGAAGUGGUUUGUAAUGAGUGAUUGAAUCUUAAACUGUAUUUACCUAUACCAUGUUUAUUAUUUUGUUCUUAUUUUAUGCUCUAUAUUGCAUAAAUAUGACGGCGGGUUCGUCAUCAGGUUAACUGUAGGUCCCGGCUGUCAUUGAACAUCCUUGGCAGUCGUUACGGGUAGUCAGAAGCCAGUAAGUCUGACACCAGUCUAAGCAAAGAGUAUUGGGUUGCCCGGGUAACUGGGUUGAGGAGGUCAGAUAGGCAGUCGCUUCUUGUAAAGCACUGGUACUCAGCUGCAUCCGGUUAGACUGGAAGCCGACCCCAAUAUAUUUGGGAAAAAGGUUCGGAGGAUGAUGAUACUUGGGCCCUGAAUGUAUGUAAAUAUUAUUUUUUUCCUGGUUAUGACCAAAGAUGACUAAGCUUUGUUUUUUUGGGAGUUAAUCCGACUUUAUUUAAUUUUAUUCUUUAUAUAUUUUUUCUCAUAAGUUAUGAAUGUACCUAAAUAAAGCUUAUGCUAUCGACUGUCCUAUUGUAACAGGGUAAGCACAAAAAUUACUUUAUAGUAUAUUUUUACCGAAUCUUGACUUAGGUAAACAUUGAAAUGAAUUAAUUGCUUAAAAAUAAUUGUUUUUGUGUAUUUUUUGGUCAGUAAAGAUAAUCUAAGGUGACUUUUAAGUAGUGAAUGAUACUUGGAUACGCCAUUCGUGCCUGAAAGAUGACAUGAAUAGGAAGGGAGUGAGUGUCAGUAUGACGAGUGACAGGGAAAAUGGAAGAGGAUGACAUAUUGCGCCGACCCCAAGUAAAAUUGGGAACAGGGCAGGAGGAAGAAGACUUGAAUAAAUAAUUUUACUCAUGAAAACAAACAACUUUUCAAAGAAAAUUAUUUUUUAUCUCAUUAAUCGUUUUCAAGUAUCGAUCACUAAUUAAUGGUCAUUUUAUCCUAUAUAAUAAUGUAUU